rnacentral:snRNA from 1 species
GUAGCACCUACACUAAGUAAGAUUGCAGCUAUACAGAGAAGAUAAGGAUGGCCCCUGCUCAAGGAUGACAUGCAAAUUCGUGAAGCAUUCCAUAUUUUU